rnacentral:rRNA from 1 species
UACGUAGGGUGCGAGCGUUAAUCGGAUUUACUGGGCGUAAAGCGUGCGCAGGCGGCCCGUUAAGACAGGUGUGAAAUCCCCGGGCUCAACCUGGGAAUGGCAUUUUGAACUGGCAGGCUCGAGUUCUGAAGAGGGUGGUAGAAUUUCCAGUGUAGCAGUGAAAUGCGUAGAGAUCAGGAGGAACACCGAUGGCGAAGGCAGCCCCCUGGGCCUGUACUGACGCUCAUGCACGAAAGCGUGGGGAGCAAACAGG